rnacentral:rRNA from 1 species
CGUAGGGCGCAAGCGUUGUCCGGAUUUAUUGGGCGUAAAGAGCUCGUAGGCGGCUUGUCGCGUCGACUGUGAAAACCCACGGCUCAACCGUGUGGUCUGCAGCCGAUACGGGCAGGCUAGAGUUCGGUAGGGGAGACUGGAAUUCCUGGUGUAGCGGUGAAAUGCGCAGAUAUCAGGAGGAACACCGGUGGCGAAGGCGGGUCUCUGGGCCGAUACUGACGCUGAGGAGCGAAAGCGUGGGGAGCGAACAGGAUUAGAUACCCUGGUAGUCCACGCUGUAAACGUUGGGCGCUAGGUGUGGGGGGCCUCUCCGGUCCUCUGUGCCGCAGCUAACGCAUUAAGCGCCCCGCCUGGGGAGUACGGCCGCAAGGCUA